GUAAAGGGCUACAGCCUCUAAUAAUGGCACCCAGUUGUAAGAAAUGACAACGGGGCCUCACAACCUCUGGGGUUUCCUAGACAAAAAACUGUACCUGGACUAUAUUGUUCUUUAAAGCUGAUGAUGCUCUGCUUCCCAAUUUGGGGGCACAGGUGAGGAAACAUUAAAAAGGGCGCAGUUAGGCAUUCCUUCGUGGCACAGUGGGUUAGGAAUCUGGUGUCACUGCAGUAGCUUGGGUUGCUGCUGUGGCUGGGGUUCAAUUCCUGGCUCAGGAACUUCAAAAUGCCUUGGGGCAUCAAAAAAUAAUUAAAGAGCACAGUUAGCUGGUAGAAUGAUGGAAACAGUCCUAAACAAAUGAUCUAUUUUCUGCUUUACACAAACAAGCAACGUCAAAAGUUUGGAAGAGAUUUUUUUUUUUUCUUUUAGUCUUUUCUAGGGCUGCACCCGAGCCUGGGAACCUCCAUAUGCCAUGGGUGCGGCCCUUAAAAUUGGAAAAAAAAAAGUUAUAAAUCUUUAAAAAUAUAUAUUUCUUAGAGUUCCUGUUGUGGCUCAGUGGUAUCAAGCCUGACCAAGAUCCAUGAGGAUAUGGGUUUGAUCCCUGGACUUGCUGAGUGGGUUAAGGAUCCAUCGUUGCCAUGAGCUGUGGUGUAGAUCAUAGACAUGGCUUGGAUCUUGUGUGGCUGUGGCUGUGGUAGAGGCCAGGAGCUGUAGCGCCAGUUUGACCCCUACCUGGGAACUUACAUAUGCCCCAGGUACAGCCCUAAAAAAAAAGUAUACACACACACACACACACAUAUAUAUAUUUCUCUCCAGAACAUUGGAAAAGCAUGGCUCCUGUCCAUGUAUUUAAUGUUAUUAUUUUUGUAGGUAUGUAACACAUAUGCCUUUUCAUUAGUAAGUUCCAUUUAGAGCAAAGCAUUUCACCCUCCAUGUCUCGUAUUCUGCGUCUGAAGGUUCAAAAGACUAGGUCAAAAUAUUCAUGGAAUUCCCACGGUGGCACAGCAGUUUAAGAUCUGAUGUCUCUGUGGCAGCAAGGGUUUGAUCCCCAGCUCAGUGCAUUGGGCUGAGGAUUCAGAAUUGUAGCUGUGGUGUGUUGCAGCUGGGGCUAGGAUUCCAUCCCUAACCCAAGAACUUCCUUAUUCCACAGGUAUGGCCAAAAUUAAAAAAAAAAAAAAAAAUUUAAGAAGAAGAGACUCCAAAACUUUCCAAAACCUGAAGCUUGAAUUUCUCUUAUGCUGGCAACUAUCUACAUAGUAUUUGUGUCGUAUUUACAAACAUUUCCAUAGCAUUUUUAUGUUGCAUUAGGUGGUGUAAAUAAUCUAGGAAAGAUGUAAAGUGCACGUUAGGGAUGCUCAGAGUUUGAUGUCCUUGGACUUUCUGGAAGCAGGUCCCUGUGGAUACUGAGGGAUGACUGUACACUCGUGAUUAUUUUUUAAUGAUAUACCUUGCAUUUUCUGUAAAUAAGUUUUUAGAGUUACAUGCAUGAGGUGUAGGUUAAAUUAGAUGGUUCUGUACUGAUAUUUAACGUUCAAAGUUUGUGAUUCAUCUAUGGGGUUUAUUAAACUAUUUUCUUUUUCCAUAUAUAUCUGACAUUUUUCAUUGUAAAGCAGUUAUAGCAACUUUCAUAAAAUGUUCCUUGUAUCAA
rnacentral:lncRNA from 1 species